rnacentral:misc_RNA from 1 species
GAUGAAGAACGUAGCGAAAUGCGAUAAGUAAUGCGAAUUGCAGAAUUUCCGUGAGUCAUCGAAUCUUUGAACGCACAUUGCGCCCACUGGUAUUCCGGUGGGCAUGCCUGUUCGAGCGUCAUUAUCCUCCCUCAAACCCCGGGUUUGGUGUUGGACCCAAGUUGUGUGAACAACUGGUCUCAAAGACAAUGACGGCGUCCGUGGGACCCUCGGUGCAACGAGCUUUUAGGAGCACGCAUCGAGUUGCAAGGACCUUCCGGGCCGGUCUCCUUUACCAUUCUACAAGGUUGACCUCGGAUCAGGUAGGAAUACCCGCUGAACUUAAGCAUAUCAAUAAGCGGAGGA